AUAUCUUUUGAGGUUUCCGUGAUCAAAAGAGAGAAACAGUGCCUGACCUCAGGAAGUUUACGUCUAAGGGACAGCGACAACACAGGCGUGGAGAAGUCAAUAAAAGGCAGGCCUCGUCUACUGAAGCGGCCGCAUUGUCUUUGCCGGAGUCGAGGGCCUCGGGACGCGGGGCGAGGCGGGCCGGGCCUGGUGGAGCAAGCUAGGUGAGGCCGCCCCCGCGUCCUCGUCCUCUCCGGGGGCGGCUCCCCUUCCCCCCGCAGGGGGGCCGGCCUCGCGGAGGCGCGUCUAUCCCGGCGGACCCUCGGCCUCACCAGAUGACCGCCUGAGGGCCGUAAGAGACUUUUUGCAGGCAGGGAAACUGAGGCAGGCCUUUGCGACCUCUGUUUCCUCACCUGUGAAACGACGGGGUCGGAUUGGUCGCUCAGUGUUGGUGGCUAGCAGUCAAAGGAGGAGCGACUGGCUGAGGAGGAGGCCCGGGAGAAAGCUAAGAAGCUGGAGGAGGCCGAAGGGAGGUGGAAGAGGCUUCAGCAGCUCCAGGAGGAGGAAAAGCGGAGGUGCCAGGAGCAGCUGCGACGGAAGAAGAGGAGCGUCUGUGGAAGGUGGCUGAGGCCCGGAGAAUCAUGAAGCAGGAGAAGCAGCAGCUGGCCCUUGAGAGGGAGCCCGAGAAGCUGCAGGAAAAGUGGGAGCUGCAAGAGAAGAAGAGAUUACUGUGGCAAUUGGAGAAGAGGGAGAAGGUGAGGCACUGGGUGCAGAUGGCCCUUGGUCUCCUCAUCUGUGCACUGAUGGGUCCUUGGGCGUGGCUACAGCCGUCCCCCUUCUCUCCAUGGCCCAUUCUGAGGCUGCUGCCCCUGGUCUCUUGGGCUUUUUCUGGGAACCGGGCACAGGGUGGGGGGCAGCGCCUUAGGUGGGUUUCCAGGACUCACUCGUGUGCUGCAUUGGCCCCAGGAGGAGUGUCACCGUCAACAGCAAGAGCCAAAGAAGCUGCAGGAGGAGCAGGAGAAGGCCAAGGACGCUGCAGCUGCUGCCUGGGUCAGUAACAAAUGCUGGAAUGUAAAGGUGGAUGUGCAGAAUCUAGUUUGCAGCUCUUAUGAAAUGACCCCACAGGACCCGCAGGAGGCCCAAGAACAGCUAUGAUAACUAUGGCAUGGAUCUUCAUAGUGAUGACUCCACAGAUGAUGAGAACCAGCCCCAAAAGCCUAUUCCCGCUUGGGCCAGGUAAGUGUAGACUCCCAUCUCUUAAACAGUUAGAAAUGUCUUCCCUGUUAAAUUGGACUGUAGUCUAUU
rnacentral:lncRNA from 1 species